rnacentral:rRNA from 1 species
UGGGGAAUAUUGGACAAUGGGGGAAACCCUGAUCCAGCAAUGCCGCGUGUGUGAAGAAGGCCUUCGGGUUGUAAAGCACUUUCAGUGGGGAGGAAGGGGCGUAUGUUAAUACCAUACGUCAUUGACGUUACCCACAGAAGAAGCACCGGCUAACUCUGUGCCAGCAGCCGCGGUAAUACAGAGGGUGCAAGCGUUAAUCGGAAUUACUGGGCGUAAAGCGUGUGUAGGUGGUUAGAUAAGUUAGAUGUGAAAUCCCCGGGCUUAACCUGGGCACUGCGUUUAAAACUGUUUAACUAGAGUGCUGUAGAGGGUAGUGGAAUUUCCAGUGUAGCGGUGAAAUGCGUAGAUAUUGGAAGGAACACCAGUGGCGAAGGCGACUACCUGGACAGACACUGACACUGAGACACGAAAGCGUGGGGAGCAAACAGG